AGCGCGAGGCGGUUGAAAUAGUCUGAUGUGAAAGCCCACGGCUUAACCGUGGAAGGUCGAUUGGAAACUGUUCAACUUGAAUACGAGAAGAGGUAAGUGGAAUUCCAAGUGUAGCGGUGAAAUGCGUAGAUAUUUGGAGGAACACCAGUGGCGAAGGCGACUUACUGGUCUGUAAUUGACGCUGAGGCUCGAAAGCGUGGGUAGCAAACA
rnacentral:rRNA from 1 species